rnacentral:lncRNA from 10 species
AGGUUGAAACCAAGAAUGUAGUUCUCUGAAAAUACUGUGUGUGGGGGAGGGAGUUUAUCUUGUCUCAUUCCUUACAAGGAUACUUUGCUCUCCGACACCUUAGCUCCCUGAAAGUUUCCUAGAUCGUCCAUCUUUUCCUCAUUUUUUCGACUGCAAGCAAUGAACUGUUAAUUUUUUACAGUUUGGUUUUACAGCCACACACUUUAUUCUUCUUUGUCAAGUUUAAAGUAUUCUAGGGCUUGUGCCUUCCCACAUAAAAUUUAGAAUAAACUUGUCUGUUUCUACAAAAAGCCAUGUUGGUAUUUCGAGAGGAAUUGCAAUCAACCUAUGGAUCAAAUUGAGAAUUGUAUCCUUAUUAUGUUGAAUCUUCCAACCCACGAACAUGGUAUGUCUGUCUAUUUAAAUAGUUUUUUUUUUUUCACUUCUUUCAUCAGAAUUGUGUGAUUUUUUCAACAUCAGAUCCUAUCACGUUUUGUUAGGUUUAUACUUAAAUAUUUCCUUUGCUCUCAAGAGAUUUAAACUGUUAUUAUUUUUAUUUCAGUUUUUACAUGUUUGUUGUUAGCAUACAGAAAUGUGAUUGUGUUUCUCAUGUUGAUCUCAUAUCCUGUGACCUUGGCAAACUCACCUAUUAAUUUUAA